rfam:Brassica napus, WGS project CCCW01000000 data, contig: 8224
GGGAUAUAAGAAUCUGUCUCUUAACUUUUAACUAAAAAAAUCUAAGAACCGGUUCUUAAAUAAGAGUUUUAAGAGCAGGUUCUUAACUUUUUAGUUAAAAGUAAAGAGACGGGUUCUUAUAUUCC